CCUACGGGUGGCAGCAGUGAGGAAUAUUGGUCAAUGGGCGCGAGCCUGAACCAGCCAAGUAGCGUGAAGGAUGACUGCCCUACGGGUUGUAAACUUCGUUUAUAAAGGAAUAAAGUGAUGCACGUGUGCCUUUUUGUAUGUACUUUAUGAAUAAGGAUCGACUAACUCCGUGCCAGCAGCCGCGGUAAGACGGAGGAUCCGAGCGUUAUCCGGAUUUAUUGGGUUUAAAGGGAGCGUAGAUGGGUUGUUAAGUCAUUUGUGAAAGUUUGCGGCUCAACCGUAAAAUUGCAAUUGAUACUGGCAGUCUUGAGUACAGUUGAGGUAGGUGGAAUUCGUGGUGUAGCGGUGAAAUGCUUAGAUAUCAGGAAGAACACCGAUUGCGAAGGCAGCUUACUAAAC
rnacentral:rRNA from 1 species